rnacentral:rRNA from 1 species
GAUGAACGCUGGCGGCGUGCCUAAUACAUGCAAGUCGAGCGAACGGACGAGAAGCUUGCUUCUCUGAUGUUAGCGGCGGACGGGUGAGUAACACGUGGAUAACCUACCUAUAAGACUGGGAUAACUUCGGGAAACCGGAGCUAAUACCGGAUGAUAUUUUGAACCGCAUGGUUCAAAAGUGAAAGACGGUCUUGCUGUCACUUAUAGAUGGAUCCGCGCUGCAUUAGCUAGUUGGUAAGGUAACGGCUUACCAAGGCAACGAUGCAUAGCCGACCUGAGAGGGUGAUCGGCCACACUGGAACUGAGACACGGUCCAGACUCCUACGGGAGGCAGCUGUAGGGAAUCUUCCGCAAUGGGCGAAAGCCUGACGGAGCAACGCCGCGUGAGUGAUGAAGGUCUUCGGAUCGUAAAACUCUGUUAUUAGGGAAGAACAUAUGUGUAAGUAACUGUGCACAUCUUGACGGUACCUAAUCAGAAAGCCACGGCUAACUACGU